UUCAACACCGAGGAAGGUGCAUCUGCAAUGGUGCGACGUGUGUCCAAGUCCCUGGUUUCUGUGAAGGCCUGGGUGCAAUCCUGUGUGCAAUGUUCCAAACUCAGGAGCUAUGCACAUCCACUGCUGUGAUCUGCCAGCCCAGGGACCUGAUGAGACAGGCUGUGACUCAGCUAUGGCUCUCUGAUCCUCCUCAUUGUGCUGGAGAAAUGGAAUACCUACUGAGAACUCUCUUUUGGAGUCCUUCUCCCAUUAAACAUUUGACAUUGGCAACUGCAAACAAAGAAGCCAUCAGACCUGUGUAAAGCAUCUGACUGUCGACCUCGAUCUUCACAUUAAAUUUGGCUCUUAUUUAC